AGAGUUUGAUCCUGGCUCAGAAUGAACGUUGGCGGCGUGGAUUAGGCAUGCAAGUCGAGCGAGAAUCGGUCUUCGGAUCGAGGACAGCGGCGAACGGGGUAGGAAUACCUCGGUGACGUACCCCCAGGUCGGGGAUAGCGGCGGGAAACUGCCGGUAAUACCCGAUGAUCUUCCUUGAUUUUAGCUUUAGGGAAGCAAAGGUGUGAUUCCGUCUGGGGAGCGGCUGAGGUCGUAUUAGCUGGUUGGUGAGGUAAUGGCUCACCAAGGCGAUGAUGCGUAGGGGGUGUGAGAGCAUGGCCCCCACCACUGGCACUGAGACACUGGCCAGACACCUACGGGUGGCUGCAGUCGAGAAUCUUCGGCAAUGGGCGCAAGCCUGACCGAGCGACGCCGCGUGCGGGAUGAAGGUCUUCGGAUUGUAAACCGCUGUCGGAGGGGAUGAAGUGUAUCGGGGUACUCCCCGGUAUUUGACAGAGCCUCGGAGGAAGCACGGGCUAAGUUCGUGCCAGCAGCCGCGGUAAUACGAACUGUGCGAACGUUAUUCGGAAUCACUGGGCUUAAAGGGUGCGUAGGCGGCGGCACAAGUCAGGUGUGAAAUCCCCCGGCUCAACCGGGGAACAGCGCUUGAAACUAGGUCGCUCGAGUGAGGCAGGGGUGUAUGGAACUUCCGGUGGAGCGGUGAAAUGUGUAGAUAUCGGAAGGAACGCCGGCGGCGAAAGCGGUACACUGGGCCUUGUCUGACGCUGAGGCACGAAAGCUAGGGGAGUGAACGGGAUUAGAUACCCCGGUAAUCCUAGCCG
rnacentral:rRNA from 1 species